AAGAUAACCAGGGUCGGGUGGUUUUCCCGGGGCGAGGCUCAUCCAUUGCACCCUAGAUGAGCUGACCCCAGCGAUUUCCCCAGAUGUGGAUAACUCGGUUGCGUAAUUUGUGGUAGUGGGGGACUGCGUUGGUGCUUUCCCCUG
ensembl:snRNA U1 U1 spliceosomal RNA